GACGAACGCUGGCGGCGUGCUUAACACAUGCAAGUCGAACGAUGAAGCUGGAGCUUGCUCCGGUGGAUUAGUGGCGAACGGGUGAGUAACACGUGAGCAAUCUGCCCUUGACUCUGGGAUAACUGCGGGAAACUGUAGCUAAUACCGGAUACUUUCCUUGGUGGGCAUCCACUGGGGAAGAAAGAAUUUCGGUCAAGGAUGAGCUCGCGGCCUAUCAGCUAGUUGGUGAGGUAAUGGCUCACCAAGGCGACGACGGGUAGCCGGCCUGAGAGGGUGACCGGCCACACUGGAACUGAGACACGGUCCAGACUCCUACGGGAGGCAGCAGUGGGGAAUAUUGCACAAUGGGCGAAAGCCUGAUGCAGCAACGCCGCGUGAGGGACGAAGGCCUUCGGGUUGUAAACCUCUUUUAGCAGGGAAGAAGCGAAAGUGACGGUACCUGCAGAAAAAGCACGG
rnacentral:rRNA from 1 species